rnacentral:tmRNA from 1 species
GGGGGCGUCAUGGUUUCGACCGGGACAUGGAUGUCGGCGCUGCGUGCCGAGGACGCCCGUUGGCCUCGUUAAAACUACCGGGCAACACUGUACACGCGACUCCCGCGUAUAGCCUGGCUGCUUAAUCGCAGUCCCGUCCUUCCGGCCACCCUCGCGUGGGUGCGCUUUCCGCAAGGAAAGCGGCCUGGCCGGUCGGGGCGCCGCUCGUGAGGUAGAGCGAAGGGUGUCCGGUCCACUACCCUGAGCCCACGGAGAGACGGACCUGGCGGCGACGGAAGCCCGUCCGUGGGCGUCCGUCGUUGCGACAACAAAUCGCGGAAUGCGCACGGAGAUGCGACGGCUGAAUUGUUUCGGGACGCGGGUUCGAUUCCCGCCGCCUCCAUUC